rnacentral:rRNA from 1 species
UGCAGUCGAGCGGACAGAAGGGAGCUUGCUCCCGGAUGUUAGCGGCGGACGGGUGAGUAACACGUGGGUAACCUGCCUGUAAGACUGGGAUAACUCCGGGAAACCGGAGCUAAUACCGGAUAGUUCCUUGAACCGCAUGGUUCAAGGAUGAAAGACGGUUUCGGCUGUCACUUACAGAUGGACCCGCGGCGCAUUAGCUAGUUGGUGGGGUAAUGGCUCACCAAGGCGACGAUGCGUAGCCGACCUGAGAGGGUGAUCGGCCACACUGGGACUGAGACACGGCCCAGACUCCUACGGGAGGCAGCAGUAGGGAAUCUUCCGCAAUGGACGAAAGUCUGACGGAGCAACGCCGCGUGAGUGAUGAAGGUUUUCGGAUCGUAAAGCUCUGUUGUUAGGGAAGAACAAGUGCGAGAGUAACUGCUCGCACCAUGACGGUACCUAACCAGAAAGCCACGGCUAACUACGUGCCAGCAGCCGCGGUAAUACGUAGGUGGCAAGCGUUGUCCGGAAUUAUUGGGCGUAAAGGGCUCGCAGGCGGUUUCUUAAGUCUGAUGUGAAAGCCCCCGGCUCAACCGGGGAGGGUCAUUGGAAACUGGGAAACUUGAGUGCAGAAGAGGAGAGUGGAAUUCCACGUGUAGCGGUGAAAUGCGUAGAGAUGUGGAGGAACACCAGUGGCGAAGGCGACUCUCUGGUCUGUAACUGACGCUGAGGAGCGAAAGCGUGGGGAGCGAACAGGAUUAGAUACCCUGGUAGUCCACGCCGUAAACGAUGAGUGCUAAGUGUUAGGGGGUUUCCGCCCCUUAGUGCUGCAGCUAACGCAUUAAGCACUCCGCCUGGCGAGUACGGUCGCAAGAGUGAUACUCAAAGGAAUUGACAGAGGCCCGCACAAACGUUGGAGCAUGUGGUUUAUUUCGAAGCAACGCGAAGAACCUUACCAGGUCGUGACGUCCUCUGACAACCCUAGAGAUAGGGCUUUCCCUUCGCCCACGGAGUGACAGGUGCUGCAUGGUUGGGGUCUGCUCAUGUCCUGAGAUGUUGGGUUUAGUACCCAAACUAGCUCAACCCGUGGUCCUAGGUUCCAACAUUCA